UUUUGCUGACGACCGGCGCACGGGUGCGUAACGCGUAUGCAAUCUACCUUAUACUGGAGGAUAGCCCAGAGAAAUUUGGAUUAAUACUUCAUAGUAUGUUUACCUCGCAUGGGGAAAACAUUAAAGGUUACGGUAUAAGAUGAGCAUGCGUCCUAUUAGCUAGAUGGUGUGGUAACGGCACACCAUGGCAACGAUAGGUAGGGGCCCUGAGAGGGGGAUCCCCCACACUGGUACUGAGACACGGACCAGACUCCUACGGGAGGCAGCAGUGAGGAAUAUUGGACAAUGGAGGCAACUCUGAUCCAGCCAUGCCGCGUGCAGGAAGACUGCCCUAUGGGUUGUAAACUGCUUUUAUACGGGAAGAAACGGCUCUACGUGUAGAGCUUUGACGGUACCGUAAGAAUAAGGAUCGGCUAACUCCGUGCCAGCAGCCGCGGUAAUACGGAGGAUCCAAGCGUUAUCCGGAAUCAUUGGGUUUAAAGGGUCCGUAGGUGGAUAAUUAAGUCAGAGGUGAAAGUCUGCGGCUCAACCGUAGAAUUGCCUUUGAUACUGGUUAUCUUGAAUUAUUAUGAAGUAGUUAGAAUAUGUAGUGUAGCGGUGAAAUGCAUAGAUAUUACAUAGAAUACCAAUUGCGAAGGCAGAUUACUAAUAAUAUAUUGACACUGAUGGACGAAAGCGUGGGGAGCGAACGGGAUUAGAUACCCCGGUAGUCCACGCCGUAAACGAUGGAUACUAGCUGUUCGGAUUUCGG
rnacentral:rRNA from 1 species